UCCGUAGGGGUGACUGCGGAGGGAUCAUUACAGAGUUGCAAAACUCCAACAAACCAUCGCGAAUCUUACCCGUACGGUUGCCUCGGCGCUGGCGGUCCGGAAGGCCCUCGGGCCCCCGGAUCCUCGGGUCUCCCGCUCGCGGGAGGCUGCCCGCCGGAGUGCCGAAACCAAACUCUUGAUAUUUUAUGUCUCUCUGAGUAAACUUUUAAAUAAGUCAAAACUUUCAACAACGGAUCUCUUGGUUCUGGCAUCGAUGAAGAACGCAGCGAAAUGCGAUAAGUAAUGUGAAUUGCAGAAUUCAGUGAAUCAUCGAAUCUUUGAACGCACAUUGCGCUCGCCAGUAUUCUGGCGAGCAUGCCUGUUCGAGCGUCAUUUCAACCAUCAAGCUCUGCUUGCGUUGGGGAUCCGCGUCUGACGCGGUCCCUCAAAAACAGUGGCGGGCUCGCUAGUCACACCGAGCGUAGUAACUCUACAUCGCUAUGGUCGUGCGGCGGGUUCUUGCCGUAAAACCCCCAAUUUCUAAGGUUGACCUCGGAUCAGGUAGGAAUACCCGCUGAACUUAAGCAUAUCAAUAAGCGGAGGA
rnacentral:rRNA from 1 species